UUGCUUCUUAUAUGUUCCCUCCUAUGUGUAUUAUUGAUCUGUUCGUUACAUCAUGUCUGUGUCUCCUGGUUUUGAGUUGUCGAUGUGUUUUGUUUAAAUAAAGUUUGGAGAGAAAAAAAAGCUGCAACUGCUCAGUCUGGCCGCCAUUUUGGCUCCAACACAGACAGGCUGAGUUCGGGCCGGAGGGACAUUUUGGGGCUGUAUUCUGGAUGUUUUCCUUUUUAUUGUUGCACCACCCUCUUCUCAAAUCCAGCGAAUUGGAGUUCAUGUGAGCUCACAGCCAAUAAAACACAGGAAAACAAUAAAGAGCUCACACCCAUCUUUGUUAGAUUUCAUAAAAACAAGCCAUUCAUCACUUUGGGCCCUUGACAAAGAGACGUUUAAAGGGUCUUUUAAUCAUCUCAAACCUGCACUGCAACUCUGAAAAACUUACUGCCUGAUCCGUCUGUGUGCAAAGAAAAGGAUGAUAAUAGAUGCGAAAACAUGUCGCGGGGGCCACUAUUCUCUGCUACUCUUCACUUUGUUUCUGCAACUCGAACAAUUCAAAGAGACUACUUGUGAAUGAUACACAGUGUUGAAAACUCAGUAGCCUGAGAACCCAACAGCAGAAAAUAUUUAACCUUCGUAUGGGUCUAAUCAUCACACCGCAACAGGGGCUGCUGAUAAGCCCUGCUCCCCCGCUCCAGUCCCAUGAUGGAAAAAAAAAAAAAAAAAAGGGUCUGAACAAUAAAAAUGACUUAGCAGAUCUGAACGGCAGUCAAAGCUGGAGGAAUUUCAAUAUUUCUGAGCGGUGGGAGAGGAGCCGAGAUAAGGGCAGGAUGAAGAAUAUGUGAAGAAAAGGAGUGAAGUGAGAAGGAAAGCGUGGGAGGAAAUAUGAAUAAGAGGGAGAAACAGGAUGGAAAAGGAUGGGAAAGUACAGAAAAAAGGCUUUUGGUUAUCAUGUCUAGUGACAAAAAAUAUAUAGAAGAAGGCUACAGAAGAUAGGAGGAGUAAAUCUGAGGUCAACUUGGUGCAAUGUUUAUUGCUAUGCAAUGCCUUCCUAGUAAAACAAUGGAAAUAAAACUUGAAAUAACAUCAGAACAUCUUUCAUUAUAAAUAGAUGUAGGCUAUUUUCUCUCUCUUAGCAUCAUACAAAUGCUCUUCAUGUACAGGUUAUUUACAGUAAUUUAACACAAACAGCAAUCAGGGAAGUGAACACAGUGUUGCAACCCAAUAAAGGCUGCGUCUUACAGCUGGAAGCCCGUUUCACGCCUUCAGGUACACACCUUUAACAAAACAAACAAAUAAACAAACAAACAAACAAAAAAGCAAUAAAUACAAUGUUUACAAUAAAUACAACAUUACUAAGUCAAACAAUUUGUUUUCACAUUUCCCAGUACACAAACUGGUAGUCAUACAGCCAACCAGUGGCUUCACUGGAAACCAGUAUAAGACCAAUUGCUACAUGAGACCUAUAUGAACCAGCAGGCAGGUCUAAAAUUUCUUCAAAUCGAGGGUAAGGCUAUGUUGACUAUACAGUAUAUUUGCAUUAAACAAGCAGGUUUUCAGUGAGCUGAAAGGUCCUGCUGAAUAAAAUCUAUAGUUUCUCAGAGUGAUGAUCGUUCCCAUGGCUGGAUUUACCAGUUAGGGGGCCCCCCCGCCCCACCCCAGUUCCUCCCACUAUCUCUGCAUUGUGUGUUGGUAUUCCAAUACCGGCCCCAGGUUUGCUCUGCAAUCAGUUGAUAAAACACAAUUUAGCCAUAUGCAUCAUGUAAGCACAAAACUGAAAAAAUGAAACCAGAUUUUGAAACGUCAAGAUUUCACAAUUAGAAAAUUUAAAAAGGACUCCAAAAUAUUGUGCUUUAGUGGUGCAUAUUAAUCCCAAUAACACAUUUUUAAUACAUCAAAUCACUACAAACCAGUUGACCUUGCGGCUUUUGCUACGUUCAUGUCAUAUGGGAUCGAUUGCAGAGAUGGGAAAGCGGAGAUUUGUAUGAUUAUAAAAAUGGUCUAGUGAAGGUUGAAUACUGUGCAUUAACAAUUUACCAUCAUAUCUACUAAAUGUGGGUUUAAUCACCUAAAGUGACAAACUUACAGGCGCCCUGGUUUGCUUGAUUUUCAGUUGCUUCUAUAUUAUGAAGCACAAAGUAGAGAUGCUAACGAAACAUGCUAACGGUAUCAAUACUGCAGACCAUUUCUAUUACCGUCAUUACCGUGAUUAUCGUCAUUUUCAGAGCAGCUCUCCUGCCUCUACUGGUCAAACAGAGUCAGUCUGUCGAGCUCUAACUAAUCUGACCAUGACUUUCUAUAUUUUAUCAUUAAUCGUAAUUAUUUUUUAA